GGUGCUUUAUUUUCCUUCAUAGUUAGAGAUAGUACAUAUGUGAUGUCUGAAUAACUAUACCUUACAAGUGGAAGGUGGGGUUCAUUCUUAUCCCUUCCCCCAAAUUGGGUCGUUUCGUUUCAAAGACUUCACAAUGGGAUAGUUUCCAAAUUGUUCUGUCCUGCUGCAAGAUGAGUUGAAUGCUUAACACUCGCUAUUUUGGCU
rnacentral:misc_RNA from 1 species